AGAGUUUGAUCAUGGCUCAGAAUCAACGCUGGCGGCGCGCUUAACACAUGCAAGUCGCACGAGAAAGCAGGAGCAAUCUUGCGAGUAAAGUGGCGUACGGGUGAGUAACACGUGGAUCAUCUACCUUCUAGUGGGGAAUACCUCUGGGAAACCGGAGAUAAUUCCGCAUAAGCUCGUGAGAGGAAAGCCGAAAGGCGCUGGAAGAGGAGUCCGCGGCUGAUUAGCUAGAUGGCGGGGUAACGGCCCACCAUGGCGAAGAUCGGUAGCCGGCCUGAGAGGGCACACGGCCACACUGGCACUGAAACACGGGCCAGACUCCUACGGGAGGCAGCAGUGGGGAAUCUUGCACAAUGGAGGCAACUCUGAUGCAGCGACGCCGCGUGAGCGAUGAAGCCCUUCGGGGUGUAAAGCUCUUUCGACGGGAAAGAUUAUGACGGUACCCGGAGAAGAAGCUGCGGCUAACUACGUGCCAGCAGCCGCGGUAAUACGUAGGCAGCGAGCGUUGUUCGGAAUUACUGGGCGUAAAGAGUGUGUAGGCGGUGUUCCAAGUCUGGUGUGAAAUCUCCCGGCUUAACUGGGAGGGUGCGCCGGAAACUGGAAUGCUCGAGGGUGGGAGAGGUAAGCGGAAUUCCUGGUGUAGCGGUGAAAUGCGUAGAUAUCAGGAGGAACAUCUGUGGUGUAGACAGCUUACUGGACCACUUCUGACGCUGAGACACGAAAGCGUGGGUAGCAAACAGGAUUAGAUACCCUCGUAGUCC
rnacentral:rRNA from 1 species